GGCCUGGCUCGUUCCCCCCCGAGGCUGUCACCCCAGCUAAGGUUCCACUGGUUCCAAAUUCAGUGUGAAAUCCUGAGCUUCAAAAAUUAAUUUAUAAAUUUGAAAUUUCACUUGCUCCUUAGCCUGGGGUGACAGCCUCGCGAGGGAAGGAGCCAGGCCUAGGAGGAAAUGCUCCUCCUCGGUAUAGCGAGAUGUGGGUGGUGGUGGUGGUGGUGGUGGAGGGGGAGUCUGCUGCCUCCUCAGGGCCUGACAGAGGAGCUCCUCAAUCUCCUCCAGUCGUGAGGAGGGAGGCGUCCUCCUCUUCCUCCCUGUCAUAAAAAAAAACUAAUCGGUUACUAUUUGUUUUAUAAUUUCUAUGUGACCUUGAGCAAUUUCAUUGAAUAUAUGGUUAAUAUUUAAUUUCUAUACCUCUUGGCCUGGCUGCAGUGGGGCCCGAGGCAUCACCUGCCGCAGUUGAGGGAGCAGGAGAAGUUGACGGGGCAGGAGAGGGAGCUGAAGCAGGAGAUGGAGCUGGGGCAGGAGAGGGAGCUGCUGCAGGAGAGGGAGCUGAAGCAGGAGAGGGAGCAGGCUUAUCUUUAGUUAAAGUUGUGACAAAAAUGUCUGAAAUCAAAACUCUGCAAUCAGGCAACAUUGUUAUUCAAAUAAAAAAUGUUCACACAUUACAUGUGCAUGACUUGAUCUGUCCAUCUUAAAUUAGACUACAAUGGUGUGUUUAAACCAUGAGGGGACUCAAAUUUAUUUGCUAUGUUUUUCACUCAUCAACCAACCGUCAAACUCCACUCCUGAGGGGCCUGCUUCCUCCAGGUCUUCAGGCAUCCCAGCAGAAGAAGCAACAUCUUCUGCGGUGAAGUCUUCCUCGACCUCCCGAGACAUGUUGCUUGAUGUGUCUCUCGGGGCAAUAAAGGGGUCGAGAAAGGACAUCACCGCAGUGAAACGCCACUUCCUCUGCUGGGAGGCCGCCGACCCGCUUCUCCCGCCUUCUUUCUCCCUCCUUUUCUCCCUCAAAUAAACGUCCCGCAGCCCCUUCCACCGCUUGCGGCACACAUCCACUGCAAAGACACACACACAUACGUUGAAACAUGUAGCCUAGCAUACAGGGGCAGUUAGCUAUGUUUUCAUAAAACUGUCCGCUCACUGAAAUAAAUACACAAACAAACUUACCAGAAAGCCCGACAUCAUGGGCCACCUUCACCCAUGCCUCGUCCUUGGAGGUGCGGUCCCGGUACAGUCCGCACCCCACGUCGUACAGGACCGGGUGAAAGCUUACCGCCGUAAUAAACUGUUCCUCCAUUGUUUGAUUUUUGAUUUUCCCCUCCUCCUCCUUGCUUCGCCGGUUUGUUGACGUCAGCAGAGCCCUGAUUGGCUGUCGCAGCACGGAGUCGCGGCUAGUCGCUCCCAAAGUUCAAAUAUUUGAACUUUGGGAGCGACGCGACUUGGCGUCCUGCGACCUCGGCGACGCGACCUCGGCGACGCGACCUCGGCGACGCGACCAUGCGCGACCUGGUCGCCCGGUUGCGCAUGGUCGCGUCGCAGGAAGCCGGCGGUCGCCAAGUCGCGUCAGGUCGCGGCUGGCCAUAGACUUUGCAUUGGGAGCCGUCGCCAAGUCGCGUCAGGUCGCGUUUGGUCUGAACACGGCUUUAGAGUUCGGCUCAUGUAAAAUGGGAGCAAAAACAAAAGUGUUGCGUAUAUAUUUUUGUUCAGUGUAUAUAAAUUACUCAGAUUUUUGAGUUGAGCAUUGUUUUAUGAUGCCACAGUCUCUCUCUCUCUCUCUCUCUCUCUCUCUCUCUCUCUCUCUCUCUCUCUCUCUCCCUCUCUCUCUCUCUCUCUCUUUCUGUGUGUGUGUGUGUGUGUGUGUGUGUGUGUGUGUGUGUGUGUGUGUGUGUGUGUGUAUGUGUGUGUGUUAGUAGCAAAAGGUCGACUGUGUGUGAUUGUACUUGCUAUCAGAUAUGUCUGCUGUGUUUCAGUCUGUGUGAUAAUGAGGCCACAGGGGGCUAAGAGCAGCGACACAACAAGGCAAGGAGGAGGAGGGACAUCCAGAGGCGCUGGGGGUGGAGUGGAGAGAGCCAGAGAUGAUCUGAUCCUUCUCCUCUUUAAAUGUUUGUAGAGCCAGAAACUGCAGUUUCAGGACUGCUAUUUCAGAACUGCAUCUCAAGGAUCCUUGCCUUGUUUCAAUAGUUAUACAGGAGGUGAGGGCGAAGCACUGUGACCACUGAACAUGGUCACAGAUACACACUUAAAAUUGGGGAUGAUCUAGUUAGCUUUUAUGGACCCUAAUCCUGGUCAGAUUUCAAGAUUUGUUCACCUGUUCUGCAGAUACCUUGAUUUGUCUAAAUAAUCAAGCUGCACACAGUUUUUGAUUCAUCUAAUAUACUGCUUAUCCCUCAUCGCGCUAGAGGGUAGACCCUCAUCAGGCACGAGGGGUACACCCUGAAUCGGUCACCAGUCAGUUGCAGGGCCACAUAGAGAGACAGGCAACCAGUCACGCUUACACUCACACCUUUACAGCGCAAGUGACAAUUUAGAGUCACCAAUUCACCUAAUGAGCAGGUUUUUGGUCUUUGGGAGGAAGCCAGAGUGCCUGGAGAGAACCCAUGAAUUCAUGGGAAAAACAUGCACACUUCACACAGAAAGGCCCUGCCUCACCCAGGCCAUUGACCUUCUUGCUGUGAGGUACAUGCACUACCUGCUGUGCCACGACGCAGCCCUGCAUGCAGUUUUUGCCUGCCUACAGAAAAUCAAACAACUAAAAGACAUCUUUAGCUUAUUCUAUUUAUUUGGUUUAGCUGCCACUGUUAAAAAACUCCAAUAAUGUUUGACACGCUUUUCCCUAUGAAAUUUGUUUGUAUGUCAUCCUGCACGCAAAAACCAAAGCUACUGUAAUCUGUGCAUUUGUAUUUAUGUGAAAAACUGUAUACAAUAUCCAGAUUUGGGGGAUAUAUAAUAAGUAUAGUAAGUGUCAAUUAUGUUGUCCGUGUCUGCGUUUGGGUGAAUUUAUGUGUGUGUUAGUGGUCGUCAGGUGUUACCACCUGGGCCCUUUCUGAUAAACCCAGGAGACUCCAGGGAAAAUCAAUAUAUGUGUCAAUCCACCCAGACUGAAGAUUUCUCUCAGACCACACACACUGCCCUCUGUCCGAGUAAAACUCCCACUACCAAGAUAUGGUUCAUAACAGAGGAGCACCAUAAGAAAGGACUCAGUUAAUCAGUGUGGUUUCUUGUCCAAUUUAGAAAGAAAUCCCAAAAUGGUUCCACAAGGAUUGAAAUUAAAGCACCCCGACUCUGAACUACAAAAUCCAUACCUGCUCACAGCAGCUGAUGGGGGAAAUGAAACACGACAGGACAAAACCCACUUUUUUUUAUCCUGCACUAACAGAGUGAACAUCCACUCCAGCUCUGUCUCCUGCUCUCUCCAUGAAUCUAUCAUGCAGUGCCAGACCUGGUUUGUGCUCUGGAUAAGGAGGUAACUAGAGCGAUGGAGGCUGGAAGGGAAGAGGGUGACUAGUUCAUCAUGUUAGCCUAGUUAGAUGAAAGCAAGGGAAAGAGAGAUACUCAUUAUACACCCCCACCCCUCUUCUGCUGGGUCUGUUUUUUUUCUCUCCCACGUCCGCCUCUUAGUGUCGCUGAUUUGUAUUUUACUUUACCAAAGAAAUACACACAGAGGCUCAUAUGAAGUUAUGGGUAGAGUCGUUCCUAUUGAUGCCUUUGUUGGUUUGCCAUUUGCUCUGAUACUUGCUUUAUGUCAAGUUUAGAUGGGAAGGAUUUGUGUAUUUUGCAGAACGGCCCUCUAAUUCUGUUAAAACUAAGGGGAAAAUAUCAAAUACAUGAUAAAACUACAAGACCCAAUUCCAUUGAACAACUGAAGCUGUACAUCAAGCAAGAAUGGGAAUGGGAAAGAAUUCCACCUUCAAAGCUUCAACAAUUAGUCUCCUCAGUUCCCAAACAUUUAUUUAGUGCUGUUAAAAGGAAAGGUGAUGUAACACAGUGGUAAACAUGCCCCGGUCCCAACUACUUUGGCACAUGUUGCAGCCAUGAAAUUCUGAGUUCAUUAUUAUUUGCAAAAAAAAUAAAGUUUAUGAGUUUGAACAUUAAAUAUCUUGUCUUUGUAGUGUAUUCAAUUGAAUAUAUGUUGAAAAGGACUUGCAAAUCAUCGUAUUCUAUUUUUAUUCACAUUUAUCACAAUUUCCCAACUUCAAUGGAAGUGGCUUUUCAAGCAUAUUCAUUUUCCUGCACAUGUACCCAUCUUCAAGUCAAAGUCCUUGACAUUUCCAUGACAUUUGAUGACAUUUGUGGACUCAUGUAAACUGCUGGUCUUGGAGUUUAUCAAAAAUGGACACAGAAUAGUGAUGGCCAAAUGUCAGCAGGCUUUGCCAUCUGGAGCAGUGGCUUCAGCUCUGAGGUGGAGGGUUCAGUGAGACAUUGGCUUUGUGGUUUUCUCUGCUGCAUCGUGGCUGCUGCUUGGGAGGAUCCAGUCUGCUGCUUUGUAGACAUUACUCAACUCUUUUUUUAUAACUGCAGCAUUUGCAUUAAAAAUUGAGUCUCAACCUCAAGGAGCUAAAAUCAAAAUUCACAUCAUGAUAACAACAUGCCUGAUCUGUGUGCGGGAAACACUUUUUCAUAAACCAAGCACCCAACACCAGGGCAAAGUCCAGUCUCAUUGUCCACCCUAAGUCACUGACUUAAGACCUAUUUUCCGACAUGAUGAUUAAGCGCAGGAUUGAGCAGUGCUGUGUGUUUGAGUUAAUGAGAUGUGUGAGUGAAUGAGUGAAUGUUGAUCCAUCUCUUUUUUUCCAUCCUGCCACUAGUAUUCGCAUCGCUUUGACAUGAAAUAAAAUAUCACCCUGAGAAAUCAACAUUAAACAGUUAGGGAUUCAGAGCAAAACAACAUCAAGUAAUAAUGGGGUAGCUUUUUCGUGCAUUGCAAACUUGCAUUGUGAGAGAUAAGACCUGCAGGUCCUCAAAGUGCUACAUUUAAAUGUCUUGUGGUGAGAGGUCAAGCUUUCCAUUUGAACAUGGACAUGCCUGUUCCUAUUUCUCAGAAAACCUUCAUUUAUGAUUGAAUGCUUCACAAUCAGCAUAGUUAUAUUAUGAUGAAAUGUCUGGAUUGAUAUAUUUUGACAUAUAUUUACAUAUUUCAGUUACUUCAGGCUUACAAAUGUGGCUGAGACCUCACCCAGAAAGAGAUGAAGUGCAUGAGGCUGCAAGGGCUCCAAAAGCUAUAAUGGGACAGCACUCUGUGACUUCUCAAAAACACUGACAACAAUAUCAUGUUGCUUACCAUAGUGGCAUUAAAAAAGCAGAAAUACUUUAUGUGUGAACUUUAUUAACUUUUUUUUUUUUACUGAAACAACAUAUGGAAAAUGAAUAAAUUUCCUCUCUGCUUUCUAAAUAUAGAUGGGCAGUGUGAUAUAAAUGUUUCACAUCAACAUUUUCCGAUUCGCAUUAAUAAUGCUGAAAGGUAAAUGAAAGGCAAAGUAGUUAAUGCCAGAUUUAUCUCUGUAGUCUGCCUGCAGACUUUGAGACAGUGUAGAUAGACACUUGGUUUUGGUGCUGCAGUGUGAAUAAACCCCUUAAAUAAGGAGAUAAAUGUGUUUUCAGUUCAUCAUGGAUGAGCUUCUCAGUAUUUUAUGGAGGUAAAAACAGGUGAGCAGAACAGGUGGAAAUAUUUCUUAUUUAUUUUACAGACAAACUUACUUUUAAGUGUUGAUGCUAUGCCUUCUGCAUUCUUUAUUUUAGCUACCCUCUUUUAUUUUAGAGCCAGCCAAGGAGCGUAAUGCGUCCUUCAUGCACAGGGGGUUCUGAUUUGAAUGCCAUUAUUGGCAUUUGUUUAUGUUGUGAUCUGUGCACACAACCCACCUUUGUCAUGUGGGGUUUAAAUAUGUACAACUUGAUGUGAGUGUCUUUAUUUGUGGAAAAGGAUGUUUGUCUUACCAGUGGGUCCAACCUUACACACACCAAAUCCCUCUGUGCGUAUUUGAGAGAGUGUGGAUGAUGCCCCUCACUGCUCUUUCUGCGACACUUGUUGAGGGGCUGCUUCCUGUCAGCAUCGUGUGGCAUUGCUGUCUUCAGCCAUCUCUUGAUCUCUCCAACUACCUCACGAAAACUGUCAUACGCCUCGCCGGUGGUGGGUUUAAAGGUGAGGUGAGGAGCUGAUGUGAUUGGUGAAAAAAGGACUUGGCUGUGUUAAACCUUCUCCACGCCUGCUCCCCUACCUCUCUGUUACUUACGCUGCUUGGAGGAGCUGAGUUAGGGAGGGGGAAUACUUACCCUGGGCUGCAUCGCUCACCAAAUAUGCCUCAUCAGCGCAGCGGACCAGACUUAUGCUGCGCCUACGCCACACCAUCAGCGAGACACGAGAAUAGAGUCCAAAGUCUGCAGAGAUACCCACCUAUGGAAAGUGUGCAUAAAUGGCUCAAAUUGUCUGCCUGAUAUCUCUCAUGCACUUGAACAGUGGGACAGCCGUAAGUUCUCACAGGCUUGCAGCAACGAGCCUUAAAGUUAGCGAGUGUGGGAGUGAGAACAUUGAGACUGGGCCCUUGUCUCCUCAAUCUGAUGAAUGAAAGGUUCAAUAUCACCACCUCCUGGCAUUCAGCUUUGCCUUUACCUUUGCACCAGCACGGCAACUAUGAUAACACCUCCUGAUGUCCUCUGGGAUUGUAUGUUGUUGUUUGCUUUUCUUCAAUGAAAGGAGCUCUUUUCUUGAGUAAACUCUUCACCCAGCAGAAGUAUCCAUCAGCAGCCAACAAAAUGACAAGAAAAAUAAUUUAAAAAUCGAGCAAAAAUUAUAUACAGAAUAUAAAGACAGAAUGUAGAUUUUUGUGAGGAGCAAAGGAGAAGGAGCGUUUUGUAGUUGGUUAUUCUGCACCAAAUAACCCUUCCUCCACCUUUCUUGUGCCUUGUUGACUUUAUACUCCAAAACGAUGCUAAAAAGCUAUUCCUUUUCUUUGUCAGUCCACAUGAACAAACACGGCGCUAUGUUUCAUGUUUAGGAAGUGACCAAAAGAAAGGAAAGCUUGCUCUGAUUGGAUAGAAAGGGGUCUAACUUUUUGUCACUACCAACUCCAGGGGCCUUAUUUAUCAAAGAAAAGAAAAGGUUCUAAAUUCUCGCGUAGGAAUUAAAUUUAGAAUGUGCGUAAGUACAAAAAAAUCCAUAUUUAUCAAACGUGCGGACACCGGUCGUACGCACACACAUAAGUAAUCGGUGAUGAUAAAUCCCACCUGUUCUUUACUACCGUGCUCGUGCAUGGUUAGAGUCAUUUGCAUUCAGGAACGCCUCCAAUUGACCAUAUAUGGCAUCAACAAUCCCUUUAAAAAUGCGUGUAGGAAUGUUUUUCCUCCUCCUGGAGGUGCACACUCACAGCGCUGUUCUGCAGAAUGAAUGAGUCGUGCGUUCCUCCAGGCCACCGGGCAACAGCGUUUAACAGAAUCAAAUGUGCAUCGCAGAUUAUUUGCGCAUUGAUUGAAUGAAAUCUUUUCCUGUUGACGAAUCUGAAUUUAUUGUGUGAAGGUGCUUUUAUUGCAAUGUGGGUGCAAUCUAUGGCUCCAAUUAUGUUUGGGAAUCCGGCGAUGGCGUGAAAUCCUCGUUUUAUUUCGGCUUGUUGCUGAUGUGUGUUUGGGAACUGGAUGUAAAUUGAGGCCGGAGAAAUUAUUACAUCCAACUCUGCCGGCAUGAUUCUGUUUAGCGUUGGCUGCGAAAUAUCGCAUAUGUCUCAAAUCUCAUGCUGAAAUGUUCGGGUUAGGGUGGACAGGAGCUGGAUGUGCGCUGGGAUGGCUUUGGUGCAUUUUGUUUCUCGCUCCGACACGGGUAGUAAAUCACGGCGUAAAUCCAUUCAAAUGUUUUGGGGAAGCUGUACCUGCUGAGAAUCCACUCUGAGUUCUCAUUGAACAGAUCAACACGGUCUUUGAAAACGCGCUCCCUGCGGAGGAGCAGACGCUUCUCCAAGUCCUCCAAUAGCGCAAAAUAAACCAUGAUACUUAUAUUUGUACUUGUAAGACUUCUUUUGAGGUUGUCCUGUCACAGCAGAUUUUUAUAGCUUGUCUCACCAAUCAUUCAAAAUGUCUGCUAAAUUACUAAUUGAUAAAUUUUGUAUAGAGGCAAUGGGAACAUGUGUGAAGUUUGAGAUUGCGGAACGCUGUGACUCCUUUAAUGGGUUCUAUUUGUAGUUUUACUGUCCUACCACUAGGUUUUGUGUGUACGCAUGGUCAGAGUUGUGCUUAAAUUUACGCACGUUCCUAAGCACAAGUACAGGUUGAUAAAUUCCAGACUCUGCGUGGGAAUGUUCGUACGCACUCUUUACGCACACAUCUGUGCGUACGCACGGUUGAUAAAUGAGGCCCCAGGUCUGGCAUGCUCAUUACCGUGGUCAAUAGCACAUUUAGGCAGUUUUGUGUGGAUGUUUGAAAACGAUGUGUGUACAAGACUUUUUUUAAACAGGAGUUGGAUAUUUGUGUGAACAUGGAGCUGAUAAGAGGCAGCAGGAAAAUAAGCAUGCCCCUUUACCAUGGAUCGACGGUUACAUGACUAAUCCAGUCCAACCUGGUUCAUAUAGACUUAGGGCUCUGGAUAAGCAUGUUUGGCAAGGAGGGCAGGACAAAUCACCGUGAGCGGUCAACACAGCCUGGCUAAAUCGCUGGCAAACUGUCACAUGAACUGGCCAGGUGAUCUGCGGACACUAGAAGACUGGGCAUCACAAGUCCUCCAGUCUGCAAAAUGUGAGAGUAGGUUCCUGAGUACAUAUCAACUGCAGUAUAGCUGUAUGUGUAGUUAUUACACUGGCCUUAUUGCUAACAUUUUUAGCCUCACUGAUGUCUGUGUGAAGUGCAUGCAGUCAAAAUGGUGUAAUGUUGAAUCUGUAUAACACAUUUGCAUGAAACACUGAAGAGAUUUCCACUUUGAUCUUCAAACACUAAGCCUAACUCUACGAGUAGAGUGCUUACCAUCAAAACACAAUCCUCACAGCAGUGACCGUCUCAUGACUUUAUAUUUAAAUUGGAGUUUAUUCAGGACACUACCUGUGCAUGUGCUGGUGUGACCAAGCAUACCGGGACAUUAACAAGGAGAACAGAAACUGAGGGAAAUACUGACAAAGGUUUAAGUGAUGCCAAAAAGAAUAUCCAGCAAAACCAAAGGGGAAUAUAAAUGUUCAUGGAUGUGAACACAAACUUUUGACUCUUAAAAUGUAGAAAACAUUAUUUACCUUAAACAUGCAAGCCAGCACAUUAAUGACUCCUAAUCAGCAGUAAAUUGGCUUAGAGCCACAUUACUCUACAAAGCUGUCGACUCUGAUAAAGACGUGUGCUGCAAAUAAAGCGGCUGUAUAAUUAAAAGUAAAGGCUCUGCACUGGAGAAUAACAAACUAUUUGCUUUCUGUAAAACAAGUGGCAGUCAUGAUAAAGUGUCCAUUCAGUCCAAAUGUAAAUAUAAAAAAUAAAGUGUUGAAAGGGUAUGCAGCUGCCCUAGUAUAGUGCCAGUACAAAAGCAGCACUAAAAACUAAAUAAAUAAAUAAGUGGCUGACAGUGUGUUCAUCUCUGUGCUCACCCAAAGUCAUGUAACACUCACAGAAAACGCUGAUAGUGUGAGCCAAAGCACUCAAUAUGAAGAAGUUGUUUACAGCCAUUAACUGGUGGUCCACCAGCUCUCUCAUUUUCAGGGAGAAGUUGACUCUCCCUGCAAGCCUUUCUCUUCUGAAAAAUCUUGCCGAAGUCAUGCUUUGGGAGUUGUGGCUCCACUGGCCACCGAAGCAGGAGAAGGAGAGGGAUAAUAUCACCAUCUUCGCUAAGGCUGGAUGCUUCUCCUCCGAAGCUGCUCUCUAUCCGUUAUUGUUUACUUUCCUCACGAAGCACGUAGCAAGAUCCGAGCAUGAAUCUGAUCACUUAAGCUUUAUUAGCCUUUCAGAGGCAGAUAGGUAUGAUGAUUUGAUUUGCCACGACUCCAGAAAUGAUUGAAAAAUCACAGAAUGUUACAACAGGAUGCGGUGAAGGGUAGAAAUGCGCGGCAGCGCCACCGGCUCGGAAGGUUAAAAUGUGUUAAUGCUUUCCCAGUUUAAAUGGGUUAAUAACGCCGGGGUCUAAAUUGCUUUUCUUCAGAAGGGGCUUCACCACUGCCAUUUUAAAGGCGGUUGGUGUAAAUGACCCAUAUUUGUUAAUUUACAAAGGGGAACCAUCCUGCAUAACACUUUUGUGUCUACCUGUUUGUAGUUUAGUAUGUGUGUUACAGUGUUUGAGUUUCGAGUGCUUUUAUUUUGAAGGCGCGCAAAUCCGGCACUUAUUUUGAUUCUGAAAGGGCCAGGACGUGGUCCGUGUUUGUUCUUUUGAUUGAUUGAUCACAAUAAACGAAAAAGACAUGCGAUGAGAAGAAGGAGUUGUUACAAGUACUGUACACGGAUCCACGUCAUGGAAAGGACGGAAAAAUUGUUGUAGUAGCACUUAACUGGAUGGUGCAAAGGUAUCUUUGUGGGGGCUGUUCACGUGUUAAUUGAUUUAUUGUCCGGUUUGCCAGCAUUGUGUAUGUGAUUAGCAAGUGCGCCCGGAUGAAAAUGUGUGAGUGUAAUUGUGCUUUAUAUUUUAUUUCAGCUCUUACGGUGUCUGUGGUGUGUGUGUUGAGAAAUUAAAACUUGAACCCACAUCACGGUGCAUCUGUCCUCAUUCAUGGAGUCUGUUAUCCAGUUGAGAUGAUACAGUUGGGAAGACACCAGUCUGAAGAGAGCAAUUCAUGUUGUUUAAAAACUGUUCCUUAAAGAAUCCAUAAAAUGAUUUUAAGAGUGAUGUGGGUAUUGUUUCUAAAAGGCAGGUUGUUGGGUUUACUCGGGAGAAAACUUGACCAAGUGUCCUUGCAAUAACCAGUGCAAAACUCUCCAGUGUUUCCUCAGGCAAGGACAACAGUUCAGGUGUGUUAAUAGAUAAAACUUGAUGGGAUAAAAGGAGGGCUCUGAUGUCCUUGAUUUUGGUUCUGAAGUGGUCUGCAAAGUUCUCACAAAGAUCAUAUGUUGGUGUCUUAAAAACUUCAUCAGAUUUAGUGUCUAUUAGAAUAUCAAAAGUGGAGAAGAGGAGCCGGGGAUUGUUUUGAUGGGCGGUGAUGAGUUGUGAGAAAUUGGAAAUAUGUGCCUUUUUGACUGCAUUUUUGUAGGUUUUGAGUUGUUGACGUAAAAUCCCAUAAUGAAUUGUUAAUUAGCUUGUUCUCUAUCUUCUCUCAGCACUCCUGCAUUUUCUUUUUAGUUCAUUGAUUUCAUUGUUUUUUUUCUACAUGGGGGUGUAGGUUUCUUUUUAUUGUUUUAGUUAAGAGUGAAGUGACUUAGUCCAGGGU